UGAGUGGGUUGCACAUAAUUACAGCUAACAUUUGGAGGGUGUUGCUUUUAAUUAGUUACUAGUGGGAUGCUGAGUGUAUGACUCAUGAGUAAUGUUAUCACUGGAAAACUACCUGUAAGACUCAAGUAAUAUUGUCAAUGGAAAGCUAUCUAUUUUGACUCAUUGAGUAAUAUUGUCAAUGGAAAGCUAUCUAUUAUGACUCAUUGAGUAAUAUUGUCAAUGGAAAGCUGUCAAUAAAAGCAUAUGUAAUGUUAUCAAAAAAAUGCUGUCCAUAACCAAACAGCAGUGCUGAUACAAGUGAAAGCAAAUCCAGAGUUAAUAAAAAUGAAGUGUGAAGCUGAAUUUGCUGUAAACUUAAAGAAUAACACACAGCAAAAGAGAAAAAGCAUUGAGUCCCUGAGCUUGGAAAUGUUCAAGUAAUAAAUUUAAAAGAAACAGAAUACAUUAGUAAGAGUGGACAAGUUAAAGAACAAUAUACACAGUUUUUGGAGUUUGGGGUUCCAUGUAUGCUGUAUAUUUUGAGACCAAAAGGAUUCUGCAGUCAAAGAUGUUCGUGAAAAACUGACCAACUCCUAAAUGAUCAGCAGUUCUGGGUUUCCUCACUCACUCCCUUCAGGAAACUGAUCGCCAGCAAGGAUGUUUAAGUUUACAAAAUCAGUUACUCUCUUAAAACAUAAUUUUAUCAAAUAUUUCAGAGAAUGCUGAUGGUAAUGAAAUUAGUCUAUAAUUAGGUAUGCAAGAUUAUUUUAUAUAGAAUUUAACUUUUGAAUUAGGUUGUUCUGGGAAAGCUCCUACUGCCAUUGAUUCAUUGAAAAGAUAACUCAUAGGAACACUUAUGUAGUCUGCAUAGCUUUAGAGUAAAGUUGUUGAUAUGUCCUCAUACCCACAUUCAUUUUUGUUGUGAGAGAAUUUAUUAUAUUAUUAAUUUUAUUUGCUAUUUUGGGUAUAAGAUUUAUAUUUGGUAAGGUUUUAGGAAUUGCUUCAAUAAUGUGCUUUGCUGUGUUUUCUGUUGUGGUUGUAGUGUUAUUGGUCAUUCUUUCUAUAAUUAUUAAGAAGUAACUUUUGAAAGAAUAUGCCAGGAGUUGACGAUUUUUUGUAUUGAAUUAUCAUUUAUCUUUAUUGAUGGCAUAACUUCUUAUGAAGAAUAUUUCCCAUUUUCUUUUUUCACGGUUUUCCACAUUGCUUAUAUUUUCAUUAUCUGAUUAUAAUAUAUAUAUAUACAUUGUAAUUCAUACAUGUGUUAGUAUUAUGCAAUAUUUUUUGUAGUGAAUUUUCAUUAUUUGGUUAUUACUAGACUGACAAUUUAGGUAAAGAUCUCAUUUGUGUUUGCAAGAUAUUUGAUUCCUUCAUUAUUUUCAAACAUCCUUUUCUCUGUUUUGGCAGGGAAACUCACUCCCACAUUUCUUAAGAAAUUUAAGAAUGUGUUGAAUUUUGAGUCUACAUCAUGGCUGUUCAAUACUAAGUCCAAGUUUUCAACACUCAGGUAUAUAAUAAAUUCUUUAAUAGUGUCAUUAUUUAUGUCUUAUUAGUUUCCUGUAAUUAUGAUAAUUGGAAAUCAGUUCUACAUAAUUAUAGUUGUGUAACACAAUCAUAUAGCUCAUUAUCACUGGUCCACUGGCUCUCCAGGUGGUUUCAAUAAAUUCUUUUGGGCUGAACUCACAGAAAAGAAACAUAUUCUUUCACCCAAAUUCUUUUUCACCCCCUCAAUAAAAGGGAAAAUGGGGUACAUUUCAGAAGGUGUAGAUUUGAACAGUUUGAAUUCUGAGCCAAACAGUUGAAAGUGUUAAGUACUUUAUUCUGUUAUUUUUCUUUGCUUUUUCUAAGUGUGGCUAUCCUGGUUAACAGGUAAUUUUUCCCUCCAAUUCAGUACAUACUACAAAGACAGUGAAAGAAGUUUUGUAUUAUGGUGUGGAAAGUAAAUUUGUGACUUUCAUUAGGGAAGAUUGAAGUUGUAAAGAUCACUGAUUGUUUGAAGUUUGGUUGAUCAAUCAUGAAGAAUGAUGGAAAAACAAUGUAUUUCUCUUACUGCCCCCCUGAUCGUUGAUCUGGCUGUUCAUUCACCAGAGUGUUCUUUAUAAUUAGUUUGGCAAGUCUUAUAUUGUUACUCAUUUUGAGGAAAUCACAUUUUCCUCUUGGGUUAGAGAAGUGAACUUCACAAUACUGCAAUUGGUUUUCAUUGUUCUGACAAAACAAAAUGAAUGUGGAGAACACUGCAGUAGAUGUCCACGGAGCAUUCAUUAAGGUAAAUAUCCUGAUCUUUUCCAGUUUUGCUGAUGUUUCUGCCUGUUGUGGGAUAAUUCAGGUACGUGGUAAACAUUUCGAGUACAAAGCAGAAGUACAGGCUUCCUGUCUCUCAAAAUUGCUUUCCUUUAUAGACUCCUAAAAUUGAAUGUGUGUAUGAAAUUUUUUUUACAUGGAAUUUGCCUGGAGAGACUGAGGUAAACCGUGAUAAACCUCGUUCAGGAUAACCAGUCUCCAGGCUGAGAUAAGAACCUGGGAUCUUCAAAGUAAGAAGCAGGAGUGAUAACCACUCAGUCAAGAUGUUCAGUAGCAUGCAUCAGACACUAUUGAAGGAGUCACUUUUUGAGGCUGAGGUUCAAAUUGUGAAGAAACUGCAAGAAACCAAGGACUUUGUGGACAGCAGAUUUAAAAAGAGCCUCAAAACAGUAGCCAAGUAAAGAAGUGGAGGCUGCAGGCACCAAAAUAAAACUUGUAUAUCAACUCCACUUCAUCUGACAAGGAAGUUGUGAUGACCACCGACGACAAAUCCCGUAUCCCACCAGUCGGAGCCCUGCCACUCUCAUACAGCGCAACAUGUAAACUGCAUGAACUUCACACACAGCAAAAGAGACUGAAUCUGGUGCCCACCCAACCUUCUGUCCGAUGGGUACUGUGGUAAAGUGACCAGGUCCUGAAGCUGACCACUCACUUCCAUGUAGUACCAAAGUAAUUAAUGUGUGAAGCUAUACCAUCACUUCCUCUCACAUCUCCUUGGGACAGUGUUUAAUUACACGCCUGUGUCAGCGUUAUCCAUAUCU